CCUCGCAAGCAAAUAUGGCGGACAAGGUGAGUUGUGUUGGGAGCCAGAACGGUCAUUUUCUUUAAAGUCUUCAAGACUACAGUUGCAAUACGUGCCGAGAAAGAACGCCCCUCCAGUAUUCAAGUUCACGAAAUCGUCGUCAAACGGGCGAAAUUUUUAUGAAAGGAACAGGUCAAAGUUGAAGUCAAGUAAUCUACCCCUUUCAAAUGUCUCUCUGACAUAGUGACAUCCAGAUAUCUUCAAUUGUAGUUGUGAACACCACAACAUCCACAGGUUAAUGAUGGAAGUAGAAAGCCAACCACAGACUCCUGGUUCUGUUACUGAAACAUGUGUUAUGAUAAACCAUGAGAGAAAUGUGAGGGAAACAGGUGAUCUCAAGACACCAUCUGUUCGUGACACAGUGGAAACAGAUGACGUCAAGAGACAAUCUGUUAGUGACACACUGGAAACAGAUGAUGUCAAGAGACAAUCUGUUAGUGACACACUGGAAACAGAUGACGUCAAGAGACAAUCUGUUAGUGACACACUGGAAACAGAUGAUGUCAAGAGACAAUCUGUUAGUGACACACUGGAAACAGAUGACGUCAAGAGACAAUCUGUUAGUGACACACUGGAAAAAACAGGUGAUGCCAAGCAACAGUCUGCUAUAGACACUCUGGAAACAGGCAAUCUCAAGAAGCAAGAAGAUAAGCUGGGUCCAUCAAAGCAGCUUCAGUGUGGUGAUGGUGGUAAAGCAUGUACAAAGUCAGGGGACCGUCUGCAACGUAUAAGGAUUCAUAAUGGAAUCAAAUCUUAUCAGUGUAUUGUAUGUGAGAAAACAUAUACACUAUCAAGUAGUCUGCAGAGACACAUGAAGAUUCACAUUGGACAAAAACCUCAUAAUUGUGUUGAAUGUGGGAAAGCAUUUGCACAAUCAGGUUAUCUGCACACACACAUGAGAAUUCACAGUGGAGUCAAGCCUUAUCAGUGUGAUGAAUGUGGAAAAAUAUUUACACAAUCAAGUAGUCUGCUGAGACAUAUGAGGAUUCACAGUGGAAAGAAACCUCAUAAUUGUGUUGAAUGUGGGAAAACAUUUGCACGGUCAGGUCAUCUGCACACACACUUGAGGGUUCACAGUGCAAUCAAGCAUUAUCAGUGUAACGAAUGUGAGAAAACAUUUGCACAAUCAAGUAGUCUUCAGAGACACAUGAAGGUUCACAGUGGAAAAAAGCCUUAUAAAUGUGUUGUAUGUGGGAAAACAUUUGCACGGUCAGGUCAUCUGCACACACACUUGAGGGUUCACAGUGCAAUCAAGCCAUAUCAGUGUGAUGAAUGUGGGAAAACAUUUGCACAGUCAAGUAGUUUCCAGAGACAUGUGAAGAUUCACAAUGAUAUAAAACCUUAUAAGUGUGAUGAAUGUGGGAAAGCAUUUACACAAUCAAGUAUUCUGCAAGCACACAUGAAGGUUCAUGGUGGCAUCAGGCCUCAUUUGUGUAUUGUUUGUGAAAAAACAUUUACAGCAUCAAGUAAUCUUUGCACACACAUGACGAUUCACACUGGAAUUAAACCUUAUAAGUGUGAUGAAUGUGGGAAAACAUUUGCACGAUCACAUUAUCUGCAAGCUCAUAUGGAGAUUCACAGCGGAAUCAAGCCUUACAAGUGUGGUGAAUGUGGGAAAAGAUUUACACAAUCCAGUGCUCUACAGAGACACAUGAGGGUUCACAGUGGAAUCAAGCCUUACAAGUGUGAUGGAUGUGGGAAAGCAUUUGCACUAUCACAUAAUCUGCAAGCUCAUAUGGAGAUUCACAGCGGAAUCAAGCAUUACAAGUGUGGUGAAUGUGGGAAAAGAUUUACACAAUCCAGUGCUCUGCAGAGACACAUGAGGGUUCACAGUGGAAUCAAGCCUUACAAGUGUGAUGGAUGUGGGAAAGCAUUUGUACGGUCAGAACAUCUGCAGAGACACAUGAGGAUUCACACUGGAAUGAAACCUUAUAAGUGUGUUGAAUGUGGGAAAACAUUUACAGAAUCAGGAACUCUGCAGACUCACAUGAGCAUUCAUGGAGGAAUCAGAUCUCAUCCAUGCAUUGUGUGUGAGGAAACAUUUACAGUUGCAAGUAAUCUUCACACACACAUGAUGAUUCACACUGGACUAAAACCUUGUAAGUGUGCAGUGUGUGGGAAGACAUUUGCACAAUCCGAUAAUCUGCAGACACACAUGAGGACUCACAGUGACAUUAAAGAGGUUAUCAGUGUGUUGAAUGUGAGAAAACAUUACACAAUCAAGUAGUUUGCAGCGACACAUGAAGAUUUACGGAGGAAAAAAACGGUUGAAUCAAACAAGUAGUUUGCAGAGACGUGAAGAUUCACACUGGAAUGAAACCUCAUUAGUGUUCUGAAUGUGGGAAAACAUUUUCAUGAUCAGAUUAUCUGCAAGCUCAUAUGAAGAUUCACAGCGGAAUCAAGCCUUACAAGUGUGGUGAAUGUGGGAAAAGAUUUAGAGAGUCAAAUCAUUUGCACACACAUAUCGAGGAUUCACAGUGGAAUAAAAAGCUAUAAAUCUGAAGAAUGUGAGGAAACGUUUACACAAUCAACUUAUCUGCAGAGACACAUGAGGAUUCAUAGUGCAAUCAAGCUUUAAAGUGUUGUGAAUUGAACACUGGAACAUCCAGAAGUUAAUGAUGGAAGUAGGAAGCCAACCACAGACUCCUGGUUCUGUUACUGACACAUCCUUUACAAUAAACCGUGAGAGAAAACUGAGGGAAGCAGGUGAUCUCAUAAAACAAUCUGUUCCUGA
rnacentral:misc_RNA from 1 species